CGUUGUGCCUAACUGCUGCUGUUUGCCAAACCAUUCUGCAGGCUCCAUCGGCUGCCUCGGUGUCCUGUUGUAAGGAAACUGGGGGAGUUUGAAGAAUGCCAUGACUAGGGGUGAUCACUGCUCAGAGAGGUCAGAAGUAUUUUGCGAUGUUUUGAAUUCCAUACAACUGUACCAGGGGGGGCGAAGUUUUUUGAUUCUGUUUUGUCUACUGAAUGGGAAGUGGACCAUUAGCAGAGCACAGGGACCUCCACCUCUGGCCUACCCAUCGCUUCCAACAGCAGUUGCCAAAAGCUGCAGUCACCUAACCCCCAAAUAUAGUCCUAUAUGAAGUACCCGUGAGUGCAUGUCUGCACUGUGAAAUCCCCAAGGGUGGACAGCACUCAGGGCUGUCAUCAUCAAUCAGUCCUUUAGGACUUCUUCAGGUCUGCUUACCAUCAAAUGUAGCAUUGUGGUGGUGACAUGGACUUGUUACAGCUAGAAGUAAAGAAUGCAGAAAAUAAUGGAUUUUGACCAUAAAGCUUGAAAUUCUCACAGGUUUAGUGUUUUGAGUAAGGCGAUGAUCCAAAGUCUAUAAAGGCAGAAGAAAAACAGCCUUUGGCUUCAGUGGGCAUUGCGUCAGGCCUUCACAUGACUAGCUAUCAGCAGACUUCAUUCUGUGUAACUCUGUAUGAAAGAAGUGUUAGUUCUCUGGCAUACAGUCAGCCGAGGAGGAAUAAGAUGCUCUGUGUGUUUGCAACUUACCCUUCUGGUGAGCAGACAUCCUCAGCACUGAAAGCAACAGAGAUGUUCCCUCACAGCUGGUGGAAAGGCACCUAGCUCUGCUUUGCAACUGUUCCUUCUCGCUAAGUCAUCACAAGAGAGAGAAUUAGCCGAGACUUCGUUGUUGCAUACCCAAAUCUGAAUGCUGGGUUAUAUUUAAACAAGCACAGGAAAGAGUUGAGAGACUUCAUGACCCUGGUGAACUGGGGAUCAGUUGUUCUAAACUGGAAGGCAAAUGUCAGAAGAUCAGAUUACAAGUGUCUACCAGCAUGUUUUCACUGUACGGUGGGUCAGCUGGAGUUCAGGCCCUGCAAAUACUGAGGAGGUGGUUCCAGAGCAGUAAGCACUUGAGCAAUUGCUAGCACCGGUGGUCUGAACUUGGGCAGGAUUUCAUAACGUCUGCAAGCCAAAAGCUUCCUCGACUGCUAAUUUAAUAAAGAAGAGUGAACCACUGGGCUUCGUACAACUGACAGCUUAUUAUCUCGCCUUAUGAAAAUCAUGCCUGACUUCUGGGAGCUGUCUAUCAAAAGGAGAGAAUACACUGAGAAGCUGGUACUUUCUGUCUAAUUAUCUGGUUUGAUCAUUGUUCAAUGAACCUAUUAACCACUUGAAGUGACUUGCAUCUUCACAGGGGAUUAAAGCCAGCCAGUUUCCAGCCCAGGAACCUGCCAGGGAGAGGAUGGUCUACUGCAUCCACCAGACCUUGGCAGAGCUGUAACCAGCUUUAUUAAAAGAUUUGUUUUGAACAUAUGAUAGAGGAUACUCUCAGUUAUACCAGGAGUCUGAGUAAAGACAUCGUGUUGCAGGUUUCAGCUUGGAUAGCAUCUCUAGAACUGUUCCGUCUUUCUAGGAAAGCAGGAAUAUUGUUCUUUCUUCAGAUACCAUGAAGAAAAGUGCUAAUUUUGUUCUCUAUUUUUAGUAAGUAAUUUUUCAGUUUAAUAUAUGCUUCUGACACCUUAAAAAUAAAUUUGUUUAGUA